rnacentral:lncRNA from 1 species
AGGACCAUGAUAAUUACCAACCGCCUGUGAGAAAAUUAAACAAAAAGGCCCAACUUUUAAACCACCAUUUUAAACGACCUAUUACAUCUCAGGAAUAAAUCAUUGAUGAAAUAGCCUGCUUAACAGGAAAAUAGCUAUUCCAUAGCAAAGAAUUUCCCCUUGCAUGAUCAUGAAGAGAAUAUUAAGUAUUCUUCGGCUCAAAAGGUUAGAUUUUAUGUCUGUCCAAUGCCUUUUAAUGACACAUUUUUGUGUAAUUUUACUGUAAUCAAAGCCUCUUCCCACAGAGGUUACAGACUGUGGAUAUUUGUCA